rnacentral:tRNA from 1 species
GGCGCUGUAGCUUAGUAGGUUAAGCAUCUGCCUGCUGUGCCGACAUCCCAUAUGAGCACUGGUUCGAGUCCUGGCUGCUCCA